AAUGAAGCGUUGAAGACUUUAGAUAGGAAAAGCUUAAAUAAAAAUACGAAAUUUUCUGAGCCUGUUAAUAGUUUAAAAGUUCUAAUGAAAAAUCAUAAUUUUAUAGAUAUUUGGCGUAUUUUACAUAAAAGCACACAACAGUUUACAUGGAGAAGAAAGGAUAAGACACAAGCUAGUAGGAUAGAUUUAAUUUUAAUUGCAA
rnacentral:lncRNA from 1 species